ensembl:lncRNA
GGGGUGUAGAGUUGUAGUGGUGGUGUAGUAGUGGUGUAGUGUAGGUGUAGAGCUAUAUUGGUGGUGUAGUAGAGGUGUAGUGGUGGUGUAGUAGAGGUGUAGUGGUGGUGUUGUAGAGGUGUAGUGGUGGUGUAGUAGAGGUGUAGUGGUGGUGGUGUUGUAGAGGUGUAGUGGUGAUGUAGUAGAGGUGUAGUGGUGGUGUAGUAGAAGUGUAGUGGUAGUGUAGUAGAGGUUUAGUGGUCGUGUAGUAGGAGUGUAGUGGUGGUAUAGUGGUGGUGUAGUAGAAGUGUAGUGGUAGUGUAGUAGAGGUGUAGUGGUGGUGUAGUGGUGUAGUGGUGGUGUAGUAGAGGUGUAGUGGUGGUGUAGUAGAGGGUAGAGGUGUAGUGGUGGUGUAGUGGUGGUGUAGUGGUGGUGUAGAGGUGUAGUAGAGGUGUAGUAGAGGUGUAGUGGUGGUGUAGUAGAGGUGUAGUGGUGGUGUAGUAGAGGUCUAGUGGUGGUGUAGUAGAGGUGCAGUGGUGGUGUAGUAGAAGUGUCGUGGUGGUGUUGUAAAGGUAUUGUGGUAGUGUAGUAGAGGUGUAGUGGUGGUGUAGUAGAGGUGUAGUGGUGGUGUAGUAGAGGUCUAGUGGUGGUGUAGUAGAGGUCUAGUGGUGGUGUAGUAGAGGUGUAGUGGUGGUGUAGUAGAGGUGUAGUGGUGGUGUAGUAGAGGUCUAGUGGUGGUGUAGUAGAGGUCUAGUGGUGGUGUAGUAGAGGUGUAGUGGUGGUGUAGUAGAGGUGCAGUGGUGGUGUAGUAGAAGUGUAGUGGUGGUGUAGUAGAGGCAUAGUGGUUGUGUAGUGGAGGUGUAAAGGUGUAGAGGAGAUGUAGUGGUGUAGUGUUGGUGAAGAGGUGUAGUGGUGGUGUUGUAGAGGUGUAGAGGUGGUGUAGUGGAUGUGUAGUGGUGGUGUAGUGGUGGUGUAGUGGUUGGGUGGUGUUGUUGAGGUGUGGUGGUGGUAUGGUGGUCUUGUUUUAGAGGUGUGUUGGUGGUGUAGAGGUGUAUUGGUGGUGUAGAGGUGGUGUACUGGUGGUGUAGUGGUGUUGAAGUAGAGGUGUUGUUGUGUAGUAGAGGUGUAGUGGUGGUGGUGUAGAGGUGUAGUGGUGGUGUUGUAGAGGUGUAGUGGAUGUGUAGUAGAGGUGCAGUAGAGGUGUAGUGGUGGUGUUGUAGAGGUGUUGUGGUGGUGUAGUAGAGGUGUAGUGGUGGUGUUGUAGAGGUGUCGUGGUGGUGUAGUAGAGGUGUAGUGGUGGUGCAGUGGUGGUGUAGUGGUGCUGUAGUAGAGGUGUAGUAGAGGUGUAGUGGUGGUGUUGUAGAGGUGUAGUAGUGGUGUAGUAGAGGUGGGGGGGGCUGUAGUAGAGGUGUAGUUGUCUAGUGUAGUGGUGGUGUCGUUGUGAAGUUGUCUAAUAUAGUGGUGUUGUAGGUGUGUAGUGUAGUGGUGGUGCAGUUGUGCAGUUGCCUAUUGUAGUGGUGGUGUAGUUGUGUAGUUGUCUAUUUUUGU